rnacentral:rRNA from 1 species
GAUGAACGCUAGCGGCAGGCUUAACACAUGCAAGUCGAGGGGCAGCACGUCUUCGGAUGGUGGCGACCGGCGCACGGGUGCGUAACGCGUAUAGAACCUACCUUUUACAGGGGAAUAGCCCAGAGAAAUUUGGAUUAAUGCCCCAUAGUAUUAUUAGAUGGCAUCAUUUGGUAAUUAAACAUUUAUGGGUAAAAGAUGGCUAUGCGUUCUAUCAGCUAGAUGGUAAGGUAACGGCUUACCAUGGCGACGAUAGAUAGGGGUCCUGAGAGGGAGAUCCCCCACACUGGUACUGAGACACGGACCAGACUCCUACGGGAGGCAGCAGUGAGGAAUAUUGGACAAUGGGCGAGAGCCUGAUCCAGCCAUGCCGCGUGCAGGAAGACGGUCCUAUGGAUUGUAAACUGCUUUUAUGCAGGAAGAAACACUCCCUCGUGAGGGAAUUUGACGGUACUGUAUGAAUAAGCACCGGCUAACUCCGUGCCAGCAGCC